UACGGGGGGGGCAAGCGUUGUUCGGAAUUACUGGGCGUAAAGGGCUCGUAGGUGGCCAACUAAGUCAGACGUGAAAUCCCUCGGCUUAACCGGGGAACUGCGUCUGAUACUGGAUGGCUUGAGUUUGGGAGAGGGAUGCGGAAUUCCAGGUGUAGCGGUGAAAUGCGCAGAUAUCAGGAGGAACACCAGUGGCGAAGGCGGUGCUCUGGGCCGGAACUGACGCUGAGGAGCGAAAGCGUGGGGAGCAAACAGG
rnacentral:rRNA from 1 species